UCACUGGUGAACUCCGACCCCUCCUCUGAUUGAUUGCAGACCAAAAAAAAGUAUUCAACUUUGGCAUGUUGUUCCUAUCUGCCAAUGACAAUUCUUGCAAUUUUUAAACUUUUAUAUGGAAUAAGCAAAGCUAAGACAAAGGUAACAUCAAGGUUUAUUCUUCUGUUUGGAAUAAGAAAUCAUGAAAAUCAUAUGCAUCUUCAUAUCUGUCUACUGAACAGUGGGUACUAUCUCUCUCUGGCAAUCUUUUUUUUUUUUUUUUGUCACAAAUUUCAUUAAUUUAAAUCUACAAGGCCUCAACGAUUACAAACCGGAGUAGUUUUGAUGGUACAAUGAACAACAGAAGCAGUAAAGCAAUAACACAUGAGAUAGAAGUGUUUAAAGGAGAGGCUUGCUCAAAAUAGAGAGAUCCGCAGAUAAUCUUCACUUGAAUCCUUGAAACCACAGCUCGUGAGAGCUUCAAAUUGUCUGAAACGACGUUGAAAUACCCUAGUGAAAGGGAUUUGGAGGAGUUCAAUACUGGCUUGAACACCAAAAAAGAUUCACCUCUCGUGGAGAGGGAUGCAGGAGAGUCUAUCUCAACCGCAAUAGUGUCAAAAAGCCUUAAUUACCUGGAUUUAUCAUUGAAACGCACACAAACAGCUCUAAAAACCGCAAGACUUACCCAAGAGACUAGGUGAAUCUCUAACUCUAGCUUCAUUUUCGAAGCGCUUAGGACAAUGGAGUUUGGUGACGAAGCAUACGGUUUAAUCGGGUCAGAAGCUCGGACCUUGACCUCUCUGGCAAUCUCCUUGAACGUUUUAAGUCUUUUGUGAUCGAUCUACGACCCCUUAGUUUAAAUCCUCUAUAAGCUUGAUUGAUCACUAACUACUGCUUAAACUUGGAAACAUCCAACACCAUAAAUGCAACUACCAUACCAAUAAGGAUUAAGCUGCUGACCAAUUCCAACAAAUUUGUAAAAAAAUCCACAUAAGUCAAAAGUGUUGUAAACUAUAACGUGAGGAUGAAAUAUAUUUUGUAUUUUAUAACAAAAGAAAGAGAGAGUGAUUGAACAAGAGGUGAGAGAAGAGGUGUGAGUGUGUUUGUGUGUUUUGGAAAUAAUACGAGAGAGAGAUGUUGAUAAUUAUUAAACUUGAUUCAUCCUUCUCUUUGUUACAAUGAUCGACAUAUUUAUAGGGAAGUAAGUCGGUAACAUUAACCGACUUUGAGAGGAAGAAGACAAAACAUAGGAUAAACAUUAUCCUAAUAGAUAAUUAUAAACAAAGAUAUUUUGCCAAAAUAUCUUUUAACACUCCCUCUUAAUUAUCUAUUUUGUAUUACGUAGUGCCUCGUUAAAAACCUGGUCAUGGAAAAACCCAUUGGGAUAAAAACCAUGAGAAGGGAAAAAGAGUACACUGCCGUAAUCUCCUCUUGAGAAUAGUGAACAUAGCUUUUCUCGUCACAGGUCACGCAAAUGCCGCAUUCCGAUACCAUAUACGUGUUUUCGGAAUAUUGUAGUCGGAAGAGCUUUUGUGAACAAGUCAGAUGGAUUGUCGCAUGACCGUACAUAUUCGAUGUCCACUUCUUUAUUUUUCUCGAGCUCCCUUAUGUAUGAGAAAAAUCUUGGAGGGAUGUGCUUUGUUCUAUCGCUUUUGAUGUAGCCUUCUUUGAGUUGAGCGACACAAGCCGAAUUAUCUUCAAAUAUUUUCGUCGGCACUUUCUCGUUGACCAUUCCACUUGAUUCUUGUAUGUGGUGACUCAUUGACCGAAGCCACACACAUUCUCGACAUGCUUCGUGAAGCGCGAUAGUUUCUGCGUGAUUCGAAGAGGUUGCAACCAGAGUUUGUUUCUGGGACCGCCAAGAGAUCGCGGUUCCACCAAUUGUAAAAACAUAGCCGGUUUGCGAUCGAGCCUUAUGAGGAUCUGAUAAGUAUCCCGCAUCUGCAAAACCAACCAUACCAAACUCGGGUUUUCUAAAAUACAUUAACCCUAAAUCAACUGUACCUUGAAGGUAACGGAAUAAGUGCUUUAUUCCGUCCCAAUGUCUGCGAGUAGGAGCAGAACUAUAUCUCGCAAGUAGAUUAGUAGCAAAAGCUAUAUCUGGUCUGGUACAGUUUGCAAGAUAUAACAGCCCACCGAUAGCACUCAUAUAAGGUACUUCUGGACCUAAUAUCUUCUCGCUAUCUUCGCAGGGCCUAAAAGGAUCACUCUCAACAUUGAGAGUUCUACCAAUCAUUGGAGUACUCAAAGGAGUCGCUUUGUCCAUACGAAAGCGUUUCAAUAACCUUUUCGUAUAGUUUGAUUGAUGCACAAAUAUUCCUUCUCGGAGAUGCUCUAUCUGGAGCCCAAGACAAAACUUUGUCUUGCCGAGAUCUUUCAUUUCGAACUCCUCUUUCAUAUGAGUUCGAGCAUCAUCAACCUCCUUUUGAGUUCCAAUUAUGUUCAGGUCAUCUACAUAUACAGCAAUGAUCACAAAGCCAGAUGACGAUUUCUUUAUAAAAACGCAUGGACAUAUCGCAUUAUUCACAUAUCCUUUACUCAAAAGAUAUUCACUUAAGCGAUUGUACCACAUGCGUCCGGAUUGCUUUAAUCCGUAAAGUGAUCGCUGUAACUUGACCGAACAAAUCUCCCUGGAUUUUUCUUUCAAUGCCCCUGGCAUUUUCAAUCCCUCAGGGAGUUUCAUAUAUAUAUCGUUAUCCAACGAUCCAUACAAAUAUGCAGUCACAACGUCCAUGAGAUGCAUUUCAAGAUUUUUAGACGCCGUUAGGCUCAUCAAAAAUCUAAACGUAAUUGCAUCCAUUACCGGGGAAUACGUUUCCUCAAAAUCAAUUCCCGGUCUCUGAGAAAAACCUUGGGCAACUAAUCGGGCUUUAUAUCGUGUUACUUCAUUUUUCUCAUUUACUUUUCUCACGAAUACCCACUUAUACCCAACAGGAUUUAUAUUCUCAGGCGUUAUGACUAUAGGUCCAAAGACAUUUCUUUUAUUCAGGGAGAGUAAUUCAAUUUGAAUGGCCUUCUUCCACUCCUCCCAAUCAUGUCUUUUCUGACAUUCCAAAAUGGACCUUGGAUCGGGAUCAUCAUUUUCAUGAUCGAUCUCUUUGGACACAGAAAAGGAGAACAUUCCAUCAACAUCUUUUAUCUUAUUUCUGAUCCAUAACUUUUCAUCUCGGGCGUAGUUGAUGGAAAUCUCAUACUUUUCUGUUCCCUUCUCGUCAUCUGGAUCAUCUUUAUCUAUGCCUUCUUUCAGACAUUUUUCAGUAUCAGGUUCUUCUGGAACCUUUCCAUUUAUGUCUUCUUUCAGACAUCUUUCAAUAUCAGGUUCUUCUAGAACCUUACUUUGUUCAUCCAAUUUCUUUUUCUUUCGGGGAUUUUUAUCUUUAGAACCCGCUGGCCUCCCCCUCUUUAACUGAACCCUAGGUUCAUUCAUUUUAUUUCCAUCAGUUUGUUCUUUAGGAACAUCAACUCUUGAUGGAACAUUUUCAGCGGGUAUACAUGACUUCGUCACCCUUCUUGUAUCUGUGAACGCAUCUGGUAACUGGUUUGCCAAAUUAUGCAAAUGCACAAUUUUCUGAACUUCCAGUUCUCUUUGAUUCGUAGGGGGAUCAAGGUGUAACAACGACGGUGUACACCAUGUAAUCUCUUGAGGAAUUUUACCAAUUCCUCCCCCUAACGCUGGAAAUUCAUCCUCAUUAAAAUGGCAAUCGGCAAACCUUGCCGUAAACAUAUCACCAGUUACUGGUUCCAGAUAUCUUAUUAUACUUGGUGACGUAUAACCCACAUAAAUUCCCAAUCUCCUUUGUGGGCCCAUUUUUGUUCUUUGUGGCGGAGCUAUCGGAACAUAGACCGCACACCCAAAGACACGGAGAUGGGAUACAUCUGGCUCUUGCCCAGAUGCCAAUUGUAAAGGGGAGUACUUAUGAUAUGCACUCGGUCUUAGCCGAACCAGUGCAGCCGCAUGCAAUAUAGCAUGACCCCAUACAGAAAUUGGGAGCUUUGUUCUCAAGACUAACGGUCUUGCAAUCAACUGCAACCGUUUUAUCAAUGACUCGGCCAUGCCAUUUUGUGUAUGCACAUGGGGAACUGGAUGCUCCACAUCAAUCCCCAUUGACAUACAAUAAUCAUCAAAGGCUUGCGAUGUAAAUUCACCAGCAUUAUCAAGCCUUACUUUCUUAAUGGCAUACUCUGAGAACUGCGUUCUCAGCUUUAUUAUCUGGGCAAUGAACUUUGCGAAAGCCGUAUUUCGUGUCGUCAAAAGAGACACACUUGACCAUCUACUAGAUGCGUCAAUCAAUACCAUGAAAUACUUAAACGGCCCGCACGGUGGGUGGAUCGGCCCACAUAUAUCACCAUGUAUUCUUUCUAAAAACAUUGGUGAUUCAUUGCCUACUUUUGCUGGUGAUGGCCGAGUUAUAAGCUUUCCUUGAGAACAUGCAUUACAUGUAAACUCGCCCGUUUGCAAAAUUUUUCCGUUUUUCAACGGAUGGCCAUUCGAAUUUUGCACUAUCUUUCUCAUCAUGACUGAACCAGGAUGUCCUAGCCUUUCAUGCCAUAUUUUAAAUGUAUCAGUAAACUUCAUGUUUACCACGGCAUAGGACUCAGUCAUGGUUAUUUUCGUACAAUAUAGUCCAGAGGAUAACAUUCUUAACUCUUCAAGUAUAUGUUUCCUCUCGGACUUAAUGCAAAGAAAUUCAAUGCCAUCUUUACUCAUAGUCUCAAUAUGAUAUCCAUUUCUUCGGAUAUCCUUAAAACUUAACAAGUUUCUAUGAGACUUGGGGGAAUACAAUGCAUAACUUAUUUCAAAUAUCGUUCCCCCUGGCAUUGAAAAUUUCGCUCUUCCAGAGCCCAUAAUAAUCUUUGCAUUACCAGAUAUUGUACUUACGCUUCCAGCGUAAUUUCUUAUUUUGAGACUGGAGAAAUAUUUCUUAUCUUUGAUUAUCGUGUGCGUUGACGCACUAUCUGCCAAACACAAAUCUCCAUCCAUAGUCUCAAAGUUUGGCAUUCUUUCUGAAUUUAAAAUAUUCAUAAAACAUAUAUUAUUAAACAUUAAACAUAACAAACAUAACAUAUAUCUUACAACAAAAGAUAUAGAUACUAUAAUACAGUCUACUUAUAUCACAUCGAUUUAUAUCACUCAUCGAUACUCUCUGGCUCAACCAGAAAGUCUGAUACGUCGAGAUGAGUAUCAUCGUUUAAACCAUGAAAGGAUGGCCCAGGUUCAUCAGAGAUGAAGUUUGUUUCACCUCUUCCUUUCUCUUUUCCCUUUUGGGAUUCUCUAUACAGAUCGGCUAAAUGUUUUGGCGUACGACAGUUACGUACCCAAUGACCUUUCAUGCCGCAUCUGUAGCAAACCUUUCCCGUUUGCCUUUUAUCAUCCUGGCCCUUUUCAUUCCUUUCAUUUUCGUGGAAGUCUUUAUUAUUUCUUUCAUCAUAGGGACGGAAUCUUCUUCCUCGUCCUCUUCCACGACCAUGAUAACGGUUUCCACCACGUCCACGACCUCGUCCUCUCCUAUUAUCAUAACUGGAUGAUGCAACAUUCGCUUCAGGGAAUGGAGCAGAUCCAGUGGGACGAGCUUGAUGGUUUAAAGUCACGAGUUGAUUAUUCUGCUCCGCUACAAGGAGGACUUGCAUCAACUCCGAGUAACGGGUAUAUCCACUCACUCGGUAUUGUUGUUGCAGGAUUACAUUUUCAGGAUGGAACGUGGAGAGAGUUUUCUCGAUCAUAUCAUAAUCACUUAUUUUCUCUCCACAUAACAUCAUCCUCGAAGUAAUUCCGAACAUCGCGGAAUUAAACUCACUAACACUUUUGUAAUCCUGGAACCGGAGAUGGAUCCACUCGUGUUUAGCUUUCGGUAAGAUCACAUAUUUCUGGUGAUCGAACCUCUCUUUUAAAGAUUUCCAGAGGUCACAAGGAUCCUCUUUCGUAAUAUAUUCAUCCUUUAAACCAUCAUGGAUGUGGUGUCGUAAAAAUAUCAUGGCUUUAGCCUUUUUCUCAUCCGACACCGUUUUUGAACUAUCGAUGGUUUCCAAAAGCCCGUUUCCUCUCAGGUGCAUUUUUGCACCCACUGCCCAGGUCAUAUAAUUAUUUCCCGUAAUAUCCAGGGCAUUAAUUUCGAGCUUUGUCAAAUUCGACAUGAUAACUGUAUUCAUAGAAUAAUAUAUAUAAAUAUAGUAAUUACGAGAAUUUAAAUGCGUAAUUUAAAUGCAGAAAUUAAAGGCAUAAAAUAAAAGCAUAAACUUAAAUUGCAGAAAUUUAAAUUGCAGAAAUUUAAAUUGCAAGAAUUUAAAUAGCAUAAAUAAAAUCGGGAGGCUCAGCCUACCACAUGAUCCGAGGAGUCAUAGACUACCAUAUUGAUCAUUUUUCAAAGUCCGAGGAGACAUGGUCUACCAUUUUGACUUUAUUUAUUUUAAGGUCCGAGGAGACUUAGUCUACCAUUUUUGACCUUUUUAUUCACGGAGGCAAAGCCUACCACGUGUUUCUCUGAUCGUGAAGGCAUAGCCUACCAUAACAAUCAGUCGGGGAAGGCAGCGCCUAUCAUCCCGAACGGAGAAGGUCCAGCCUCUCACUCCGAAGCAAUAAUAAAAUUUAAAUAAAAUAAGUAUAUUGAAAUACAUAAAUUUAAACAUUACCUUGGCUGGUUUAGAAACUUUUGGAUUGAUAAACUUCAGUUGGUCAGAGCCUCGUGCUGAUAACGUGUUGUAAACUAUAACGUGAGGAUGAAAUAUAUUUUGUAUUUUAUAACAAAAGAAAGAGAGAGUGAUUGAACAAGAGGUGAGAGAAGAGGUGUGAGUGUGUUUGUGUGUUUUGGAAAUAAUACGAGAGAGAGAUGUUGAUAAUUAUUAAACUUGAUUCAUCCUUCUCUUUGUUACAAUGAUCGACAUAUUUAUAGGGAAGUAAGUCGGUAACAUUAACCGACUUUGAGAGGAAGAAGACAAAACAUAGGAUAAACAUUAUCCUAAUAGAUAAUUAUAAACAAAGAUAUUUUGCCAAAAUAUCUUUUAAC
rnacentral:lncRNA from 1 species